GUUCUGAUAUUAAGUCCUAAGUCUGGUUUAGGUACCGGAUUAGGCUUGGUGUGUAUUUGGUUAGUGUAGGCCUGACGUUGGCCUGUAUGUGUUUGAAGGAUUGCUUGUGAAGGGUUGUGGAUAUUAAAGCUAUGUGGUAUCAUUGGUUGGCCGAUCAUGUUCUUGUUGGUCGACCGGUUAAUGAUACUUGUAUAAUCUAAGUGUCUAACACUACAUGAGUACUGAAGUCAAGCGUAUAUAUGGUUAACUAGGGAUUGGUUGUUGACUUGUUUUAAUGCAGGUUCCCGUUACUUGAAGCUAGAUUAU
rnacentral:lncRNA from 1 species